GUCUUGUAAUUGGGAAUGAUGGUGACCCAAACCCUCACCAGAGUAGCAAUUGGAGGGCAAGUCUGGUGCCAGCAGCCGCGGUAAUUCCAGCUCCAAUAGCGUAUAUUAAACUUGUUGCAGUUAAAAAGCUCGUAGUUGUAUUUUUGCGUUGACGGUUUGACCAUUUGGUUGGUUAUUUCGUUUUCGCUUUUGGGAAUUUCCCUUUUUACUUUGAGAAAAUUAGAGUGUUUCAAGCAGACUUUUGUCUUGAAUACUUCAGCAUGGAAUAAUAGAGUAGGACUUUGGUUCUAUUUUGUUGGUUAUUGAACCUUAGUAAUGGUUAAUAGGAACGGUUGGGGGCAUUCGUAUUUAAA
rnacentral:rRNA from 1 species